UCCGUAUGGUGCAAGCGUUAUCCGGAUUUACUGGGUGUAAAGGGAGCGCAGGCGGCACGGCAAGCCUGAUGUGAAAGCCCGCGGCCCAACCGCGGGACUGCAUUGGGAACUACCGGGCUGGAGUGCCGGAGAGGUAGGCGGAAUUCCUAGUGUAGCGGUGAAAUGCGUAGAUAUUAGGAGGAACACCAGUGGCGAAGGCGGCCUACUGGACGGUGACUGACGCUGAGGCUCGAAAGCGUGGGGAGCAAACAGG
rnacentral:rRNA from 1 species